rnacentral:lncRNA from 1 species
GAGGAAACACAGGCCCAGAUGGAAAGUGGCUUGCCCAAUCCCACACAGCAAGGCAGAGAUGGAUCCAUCCAGCUCUCUCCUCCCAGCCAGGGCUUAGCGACAACACAGCUACAGGGGCAUGAGAGGCUCAGAGGCCUGGUCCUCUGGCUGGUGGAGCCUUGGAGGCAGUAGUGAAGAUCCCUGGAAGAGGGAGGCCAUGAAGAGGGAUGCAGAUACCUGGCAAGCCCACCUCCCUUCUAUGCCACCUGCCAGCCUUCUCUGACAUUCCCAAACCAGGGACCAACACCGCCAAUCAGGGAAGAUUUACACGCAUUUAAUUAUCCUGCACUGCUCAGAUGUCAGUCUCUAAAUUCCUAACACAAAUGAACAGAAGACAAAAUCAUUUGCAGGAUUCUGAAAUGAAGUUUUUCAGCGGAACACAGAGAAACAGUUAAAUUUUGCAAAGCUGUGAAACUGGAGAGGGGGCUGUCCUCCAAAUCUACCAACCAGAGACCUGGAAGGAAUUACUUGCAUGAGAUUCAUUUCUCUCUGUCUUUCUCUUUCUCCCCUCUCCCCACCUAUCUGCACCAAACUCACCUGCCAAUUUCAUCAGCGAUACUUGAAUGGAUUUUCUAACCUGUUCCACUCCAAAUUGAUCAGUUAAUUAAGUUGAUCUCUACAAGACUGUUAAAGAACCAGGUCUUUUUCCUUUCAUGUUAUGCAGUUCCAAGUAAACUCCCUUUACUCUGGUAUCCUUAUCAGAGGCAGACAUCACAGGAAGUGGAGCAUUCCUUAUGAAUAUCUUAAUCUACACACAAAUAGAUUUUUUUCAAUGUGAAUUUGGAUUUCUAAAAGCACGCUUACUGCAAGUACAUUUUGCAGCCUCUUGUUUCCAGAUCAGAAUUGAGUGAUUUUCUAUUAUUUAUUUAUUUAUUAUUUGUCACUUUAAAAUAUGCAAUUCUUGGGAUCAUGCAGAAUUGCUGUAUAUUUGCUUUGAAGAUUAGAAUAAAACUGGUAGAUAAUGUGGA